rnacentral:rRNA from 1 species
AACGAACGCUGGCGGCAUGCCUAACACAUGCAAGUCGAACGAGACCUUCGGGUCUAGUGGCGCACGGGUGCGGAACGCGGGGGAACCUGCCCUUAGGUUCGGAAUAACUACUCGAAAGGGGUGCUAAUACCGGAGAAUGUCUUAGGACCAAAGAUUUAUCGCCAUUGGAUGGGCCCGCGUUGGAUUAGCUAGUUGGUAGAGUAAAAGCAUACCAAGGCGACGAUCCGUAGCUGGUCUGAGAGGAAGAUCAGACACACUGGGGCGGAGACACGGCCCAGAAUCUUACGAGAGGAAGGAGUGGGGAAUGGUGGACAAGGGGCGGAAGACUGAGGAAGCAACGCCGGGUGAGCAAUGCAGGCGUGAGGGUUGUAAUGCUCGUUUAACUGGGAAGAUAAUGACAGUACCGGGAGAAUAAGCCACGGCUAACUACGUG